rnacentral:rRNA from 1 species
GACAGAGAGAAGCGAGAUAGUGAUAUUAAGCGAAACUCAAAAAGCGGUCUCAGUUCGGACUGAAGGCUGAAAUUCGCCUUCACGAAGUCGGAAUUGCUAGUAAUCACAGGUCAGCAUACUGUGGUGAAUACGUUCCCGGGCCUUGUACACACCGCCCGUCACACCAUGAGAGUUGAGAAUACCCGAAGUCCAUGUCAAAGUGGCCGAAGGUAGGCUUGAUGAUUGGGGUGAAGUCGUAACAAGGUAGC